rnacentral:rRNA from 1 species
UACGUAGGGUGCAAGCGUUGUCCGGAAUUAUUGGGCGUAAAGAGCUCGUAGGCGGUCUGUCACGUCGACUGUGAAAACCUGGGGCUCAACCCCGGGCCUGCAGCCGAUACGGGCAGACUAGAAUUCGGUAGGGGAGACUGGAAUUCCUGGUGUAGCGGUGAAAUGCGCAGAUAUCAGGAGGAACACCGGUGGCGAAGGCGGGUCUCUGGGCCGAUAUUGACGCUGAGGAGCGAAAGCGUGGGGAGCAAACAGG